rnacentral:rRNA from 1 species
UUGCUUCUAACCGUCCGCAAGG